rnacentral:rRNA from 1 species
AUUCCAGCUCCAAUAGCGUAUAUUAAAGUUGUUGCAGUUAAAAAGCUCGUAGUUGGAUUUGUGGCGUACGGUGUGUCCCGGGCACUUGUUGUCUGAGUGACCUGCUGUUGCCAUCCUUGGGUGGAACCUGUGUGGCAUUAGGUUGUCGUGCAGGGGAUGCCCAUCAUUUACUGUGAAAAAAUUAGAGUGUUCAAAGCAGGCUUAUGCCGUUGAAUAUAUUAGCAUGGAAUAAUGAGAUAGGACUUUUUUGCUAUUUUGUUGGUUUGCGCAAAGAGGUAAUGAUUAAUAGGGACAGUUGGGGGUAUUCGUAUUCCAUUGUCAGAGGUGAAAUUCUUGGAUUUCUGGAAGACGAACUACUGCGAAAGCAUUUACCAAGGAUGUUUUC